GAACUGUUCGACACUAUUGACUGUAUGCCUAUGAACUCUCGCCUUUCUCCUGACAACGACCAACAGCCGCAUGCUACAGACAAACCGGACAUUAUAGAUAUUGAGGGGUUCGAGGGCAGUAUUCUCCUUUCUGAUUCGGAAUAAAUAAAGAUUUUGUUGACGACCUCAGAAGAUCUUUUUAGUUUUAGGAUAUUGCCUUGUCGUAAAUAUUUAAGUACACAAUAUAUUUGGUUUACCAAAUAAAAGAGUAACUUUGAA